GCACAAGCGGUGGAUGAUGUGGAUUAAUUCGAUGCAACGCGAAAACCUUACCUACCCUUGACAUGUCCGGAAUCCCGAAGAGAUUUGGGAGUGCUCGCAAGAGAACCGGAACACAGGUGCUGCAUGGCUGUCGUCAGCUCGUGUCGUGAGAUGUUGGGUUAAGUCCCGCAACGAGCGCAACCCUUGUCAUUAGUUGCCAUCAUUUGGUUGGGCACUCUAAUGAGACUGCCGGUGACAAACCGGAGGAAGGUGGGGAUGACGUCAAGUCCUCAUGGCCCUUAUGGGUAGGGCUUCACACGUCAUACAAUGGUCGGUACAGAGGGUUGCCAACCCGCGAGGGGGAGCUAAUCCCACAAAGCCGAUCGUAGUCCGGAUCGCAGUCUGCAACUCGACUGCGUGAAGUCGGAAUCGCUAGUAAUCGUGGAUCAGCAUGUCACGGUGAAUACGUUCCCGGGCCUU
rnacentral:rRNA from 1 species